GUCUUCUCGCAUCCAUUGGUUUCUAUACGUAUAGAAUUCUAAAUUUUGGCGUAUGAUGUGAUGUAUAGUUUUCUUAACAAAAAUUAUAUUUUCAGUCCCGAUAUCUCUUUUUAAUUAGUUUUGGCAUAGGUGUGUCUGGUUUUCAUAAUUUGCUUACGUCUCCGACCAUAUGGUGCUAUAUAUUGAAAAUACUAAAUACCACUUGUCGAAGGAAGGUUGAAGAUUGGGAUUAGAGUAGAUGGCUGGAUUGAGUUUCGUUUCCCCUUCACUUUGAUACGUGACUGUUUUUAGAUGACGUCCUUCCAUUUGUUGAGAAGGUAAAUCCUUAACAGGCGCCAAUGUCAUCGUUCUAUUCAUUUUGAUGGUACAUCGCUUUCAUAUAACGGUCUUUGUGAUGAACAUUAUGACAUUGAAACCUAAAUAUAAUUAGAAGAUUCUGUAUUCAACACUUUCUCAUUGCGAUACGUUUAUAUGACUACACACGGAGAUACUCAUACUAAUUAUUAAUUAAUGUAUUAUAUUGUUCAAUUUGAUUUAUAUCCACAAGAAGGGAAUGUCACUUGAUCUAUUUUAUU